AAAAAAAACGUAAUUUAUCAGUUUCACCCACUGUCUUACAAUUUUAGGUUCCUUUCGUGCCAUUAAUCAUUGGGAUCUCAUUUUGCUGAGCUAAUAUUUUUAGACACCUGCCGUGGCUGCAUCUCCCCCGAAUGGAUGACUACAGAACACGAAACGCGGCCUAUGAAGGCCAUGGGUUGAAACGAAGUACGGAAGAGCGGUCAGAUAAGACUUCACCAUGUUCAGCAAUUUCUCUUGGACCAACGCUUUGUAAUGUGAACGAAGUCUCCUUUCAGCUUUAUCUGGUGUGUGUUCUGAAACCUAAAACUCUGUGAGAGAAAAAUGAUGUAUCACUCAACAUCUCUUGGUAUUGAUGAGUAGCAGCAAUAGCAUGUGUUUGUGUGUUUCUCUCUUUUUUAAAAAAUAUUGUAUUUAUUUAUUUAUUUGACAGGGAGAGCACAAGCAGAGGGAGCAGCAGACACAGGGAGAAGGAGAAGCAGGCUCCCUCGAAGCCCAAGGUGGGACUCGAUCCCAGGACCCUGGGAUCAUGACCCAAGCCGAAGGCAGAUGCUUAACCGAUUGAACUACUCAGGCACCCCCCCACCUUUUUCUUUUUUUAAUUGAUGUAGACUCGUAGUUAAAAGGGUGAUUUCUGUUUCUGCCAUAUGAAGAUACCGAGAACUUUUUUAUCCCAAAUUUUUAAAUGAAAUCCAACUUACGUCAUUUCUGCUGAAAUUUAAGACCAACUUUCCUCAUUCUGACUUUUGCAGUAGAAAUGGAAAGAAACUGCCCACUUCCACCUCCUUAGCAUCUCCUCUUAUCCUCCUGCUAAAUGCCAGUGAUGACAUUUGUGGCCUCCACGGAUAGAUCUCACUGAAAUAUAAAUGCCAACAGAGUCCCCUUUGCUAUUUAAUGGGCUCAAGUGAGUUAAGCCUAUUCAUGGUAAUUCAGUUCUGUAGGAUUCUCAUGUAGUUCGUUGCUUUGAGCUUGUUAUUUCCAUAAUGAACAAGAGAUUUAGAACAUCAAAGGAAGAAAGGAAGAUAUGUAAUGUUUUAUUGAGUGUUAUCACCUACUGAAGUAAGUUUGAUUAAAGGAGCAAAAUCACUAUUUGCAAAAGUUUGAUCCAGAAUUUAUUCAUAGCCUCGUGAAUGAAUGGCUCUGCUUGUUGAUUGGAAAGACUUAAUUAACAAUAAUUUUUUUUCAGAUGAAGAUCGUGAAUUAUUGAUCUGCCCUCUAUAGCAAGUCUUUCCUAGCACUAGCAACAGUUAGGCCGUUUCAGCUCCCUCUAGCUCCUCCCUAGAGGCAACCUGUCUUCUGCAUAUAGUCGUAUGGACACCAUUGUUUUGUUCCCGCAUCAAAACUAUCCCCAUUCAUUCCUUAACUUUUGGCAACUGCACUGGACCUAAAGAUUCAAGGGAAUGGCACAAAAAUAAGAUAAAAUAAAAAUCCUAUGUGACUACCAGAAUUCAACAGGGCAAACAAGAUUCCUUAAAACUCAGGGGUUGGCUUCUGCCAAUAAUGUGGAUAAUGUGCCAAGUAAGAGAAAUGACGAAAGCUUGACUGGAUAAAGAGCCACUGCCAAGCUCAAUCAAGCCAUUGGCAGAAUUAAGUUCUUCCUGGGUUGUUGGAUUUAGGGUCUUACUUGGUGUUGUAAUCUGGUCAGGCCGUCAUAACAAGAUACCAUAGGCUAAGUGGCUCAAGUAAUAGACAUUUAUUUCUUACAGUUCUGGAGACUGGGAAGUCCAAGAUCAAGGUAUCAAAAGGGUAGGGUUUUACUCUUAGUUCUUUUCUCUGGACAUGUAGAUGGACACUAUCUCCCCAUGUGUUCACGUGACCUCUUCGUCCACAUGCAGAGAGAAAAAGAGAAAGUGAGAGAGCUCUGAAUCUCUUCUUAUGAUAAGGACACUGGACCCUCAUGGUGGCCCCCAACCUCAUCUACACCUAAUUAUUUCCCAAAGAUCCCACUUUAAGUACCAUCGCAUUGGGACUUGUGGGGGAUACAAACAUUCAGUUCAUAGCAGUUUGUCAGAGC
rnacentral:lncRNA from 1 species